rnacentral:rRNA from 1 species
UAAUACGAAGGUGGCAAGCGUUGUUCGGAUUUACUGGGCGUACAGGGUGCGUAGGCGGUCUGGUAAGCCCUUCGGGAAAGCCCUCGGCUCAACCGGGGAAGUUCGGAGGGUACUGCCGGGCUAGAGGACGGGAGAGGAGCGCGGAAUUCCCGGUGUAGCGGUGAAAUGCGUAGAGAUCGGGAGGAAGGCCGGUGGCGAAGGCGGCGCUCUGGAACGUUCCUGACGCUGAGGCACGAAAGCGUGGGGAGCAAACAGGAUUAGAUACCCUGGUAGUCCACGCCCUAAACGAUGGACACUAAGUGUCGGCGGGUUACCGCCGGUGCCGCAGCUAACGCAUUAAGUGUCCCGCCUGGGAAGUACGGCCGCAAGGUUGAAACUUAAAUGAAUUGACGG